GCUGAACGCUGACAGAAUGCUUAACACAUGCAAGUCAACUUGGUGGCGGACGGGUGAGUAACGCGUAAAGAACUUGCCUCACAGGUAGGGACAACCUUUGGAAACGAAUGCUAAUACCUAAUACGGUGAGAGAGCUUUGCGUCCCAUUAGCUAGUUGGAGAGGUAACGGCGAACCAAGGCGAUGAUGGGUAGCCGGCCUGGGAGGGUAAUCGGCCACAAGGGGACUGAGACACGGCCCUUACUCCUACGGGAGGCAGCAGGGGGGAGUAUUGGACAAUGGACCAAGGUCUGAUCCAGCAAUUCGGUGUGCACGAUGAAGUUUUUCGGAAUGUAAAGUGCUUUCAGUGGGGACGGUACCUAACGAAUAAGCACCGGCUAACUACGUGCCAGCAGCCGCGGUAAUAC
rnacentral:rRNA from 1 species